GAUGAACGCUGGCGGCGUGCCUAAUACAUGCAAGUCGAGCGAACAGACGAGGAGCUUGCUCCUCUGACGUUAGCGGCGGGCGUGUGAGUAACACGUGGAUAACCUCCCUAUAAUACUGGUAUAACUUGGGGAAACCGGAGCUAAUACCGUAUAACAUGUUGAACCGCAUGGGUCAACAGUGAGAGACGGUCUUGCGGUCACUUAUAGAUGGAUCCGCGCCGCAUGAGCUAGUUGGUAAGUUAACGGCUUACCAAGGCAACGAUGCGUAGCCGACCUGAGAGGGUGAUCGGCCACACUGGAACUGAGACACGGUCCAGACUCCUACGGGAGGCAGCAGUAGGGAAUCUUCCGCAAUGGGCGAAAUCCUGACGGAGCAACGCCGCGUGAGUGAAGACGGUCUUCGGAUCGUAAAACUCUGUUAUUAGGGAAGAACAAAUGUGUAAGUAACUAUGCACGUCUUGACGGUACCUAAUCAGAAAGCCACGGCUAACUACGUG
rnacentral:rRNA from 1 species